rnacentral:rRNA from 1 species
UACGGAGGGGGCAAGCGUUAUUCGGAAUUAUUGGGCGUAAAGGGCGCGUAGGCGGCUAGAUGUGUCAAAGGUGAAAUCCCUCGGCUCAACUGAGGAACUGCCUUUGAAACUGUCUGGCUUGAGGCCGGGAGAGGGUAGCGGAAUUCCCGGUGUAGCGGUGAAAUGCGUAGAUAUUGGGAAGAACACCGGUGGCGAAGGCGGCUCUCUGGACCGAUACUGACGCUGAGGCGCGAAAGCGUGGGGAGCAAACAGG